rfam:Spinacia oleracea cultivar SynViroflay scaffold18878.con0006.1, whole genome shotgun sequence.
AAUAGCAAUGAUUCUAAAAUUCCUCGUUCCAAAUUGCUAUAGCCAUGACAUGAUAGACUCAUCUAUACACCCAUGGAAUAUGGGUGUA